CAAAAAUAGUGGAGAAAGUAUGUCUAAACUGGCCACCUUCUUGUAUCUUCUCAUUUGCUUCGGCUUAACCUAUGCCUCUCGUCCUAACGUUGAGUUCGACGCAAUCAUUUCACCGCACAGGACUCAUUGGAAUUGCUAUGUUUCGACUUUCGAUUGAAGGAUGUUUCGGCAUACAAAACAGCCUUAGCAGUGUUGGACGAUGAGAGUUGCGAAGGAAUAGACGGGAGUGAGGAAUGUUUGAUGAGAAGAACUCUAGUGGCUCAUGUUGAUUAUAUCUACACUCAAAAGCAUAAACCAUAAUUGAUUCUUGAAAUAGAAGAUCAACACUUGAAUCACAUGCACCCAUAUAGAUUUAAAUAAAUAAUAUACACUUCCUGUAUA